UGUCCAUCAACCAUUUGCUACAACCUAGGUUGCACAUUUUUCUAACAUCAUGGAAAAACCAGAGAAUGAAGAAUAUUACCUUUCUGGUAAGUUAGUUUCAGAAAGUGUUACGGAACCUGGACUGGAUCCUCACAGAAGAACCAAGUGGCACUCGGAGACCUUGGAGGACUGAAGGUUUAUUUAACACCCCUGGGCUCAGAGGAGUGUAGUCUCCUAAGGUCAGUGGUUCUCCAGGUGUCAUCUCCAAUGCAGCAGGGGAAACAACAGACCUGGGAACUACUUAAAAAUGCAAAGUCUUUGGGCCCUAUCCCAAAUCUACAGAACCAUAGACUCUGGGGAUGGAAUCUAGCACUUACGCUUUAACAAGCCCUGCAGGGGAUGCUGAUGCUUGCUGAAGUUUGGGACUAUUAAUUUGACAGCUGCCAAUUAUGUAAAGAUAUUCCAGGAUCAGAGGCAACUGAAGGUAAAAGCCUCUGGCCCCCAGCCUACCCACCAAUAAGAGGGUGUCCUAGCAGAAGGCCCGAGAUCAUAUGCAAGACCCCAGGCAACUAGGCAGUUGUGACAAAAGAGGGAGAGCAUGGAGAGAUCCCAGCAGUUGAUAGAUCGACUAAGACCUAACCUAAGGGUGAAGAUCACUGUUGCAAUGUGUAGUCUUUUAGAGGCACUGGCCACAUGUAACAGCGGCCUGUCAAAUGAUGGAUGAAGACACAAGGUGAAAUCCACCACUGACAUUCUCUCAAGAAAACCUUGUACCAGCUUACCAGGAC